rnacentral:rRNA from 1 species
GAGGAACACCGAUGGCGAAAGCAGCUUCUUGGUCCAAUCCUGACGUUGAGGCACGAAAGCGUGGGUAGCAAACAGGAUUAGAUACCCUGGUAGUCCACGCCGUAAACGAUGAUCACUAAACGUUAGCUUUGCUUUGCAAAGUUAGUGUCCGUCAGCUAACGCAUUAAGUGAUCCGCCUGGGGAUUACGGUCGCAAGACUAAAACUUAAAGGAAUUGACGGGGGUCCGCACAAGCGGUGGAACAUGUGGUUUAAUUCGACACUACGCGAGGAACCUUACCUAGGCUUGACAUGCUUCUGACAGCCGUAGAAAUACGGUCUUCUGAACUUUGUUCAGACAGUUGCACAGGUGCUGCAUGGCUGUCGUCAGCUCGUGUCGUGAGAUGUCUGGUUGAGUCCUCUAACGAGCGCAACUCUCUACUAUCAGUUGCUACUUCUUCGGAAGGCACUCUGAUGGAACUGCCUGGGAAACCAGGAGGAAGGUGGGAAUGACGUCAAGUCAUCAUGGUCCUUAUGUUCUAGGGCGACACACGUGUUACAAUGGCCAGUACAAAGA